rnacentral:lncRNA from 1 species
GUAGCCAAAAUCAACUGGCCAAGUUUGAACGAAGUACAUGCCAAAUUAUAACAGAUACUUCCUUUGUUCCCACAUCACAAAGUUGUUGGCGUUCAAUAAACAUAACUAUAAUCAUGAAGGACACAUUUCAGCAUUUUUAAGCAAACUGACUUAAUCCAAUCGGCACAAAGAAAACAGAAACUAAAGACAUAAAUAUAACAUGUAAAGGCCC